GGGGCGUGGGAGCUACUGAAAAUCUGAUCAUAAGAGCCUUAGAGAAGGCUCCUUUAAAUAGGCAAAAGGUUUGAAUCCUAUUCAAAAUCAAAUAGCCCCUUAAUAUAAGUCUUACUUGCAUUCAGAAUUCUUGUAGCCUUAGAUAUUUGACCCCCUUUAAGAGAUCCAUGAGGUGCCAACUAUUGAAACCUUUUCAUCCUUUUUUCACAUGCCACAUGAGGCUUAGGGGAUGCCCCAUGC
rnacentral:lncRNA from 1 species